CGAUACGGGCAAACUCAUCGAAAGGUGGGGACGCAAAGCCAUGGGUCUGUGGUUCUGACUGAACUAUGAUCGCCAGGUUGCCGAA
rnacentral:ncRNA from 1 species